UACGGAGGGGACUAGCGUUGUUCGGAAUUACUGGGCGUAAAGCGCGCGUAGGCGGAUUUGCAAGUCGGGGGUGAAAUCCCGAGGCUCAACCUCGGAACUGCCUUCGAUACUGCAAAUCUCGAGUCCGGAAGAGGUGAGUGGAAUUCCUAGUGUAGAGGUGAAAUUCGUAGACAUUCGGAAGAACACCAGUGGCGAAGGCGACACACUGGCCCAUUACUGACGCUGAGGCUCGAAAGCGUGGGGAGCAAACAGG
rnacentral:rRNA from 1 species